UUAAAAGCGAUGAUGAGAGCUAGUAGCUAGACGAUCCUGUUAGAGAGUUGCAACCAUGAGCUGAGAAUUGCAAUCAGUGAUCUAAAGCGAAUUUCACUUUCGGAGCUGAUACGUAAUGGUAUUCCGGCCAAUCACCGUUAUUGAUUAUUUGAGUGUGUAGGAUUCGUUUCUACAAACUAGGGUGGUACCGCGAAGCCUCGUCCCUAUC
rnacentral:ncRNA from 1 species